AAACUCAAAGGANNNGNCGNGGACCCGCACAAGCGGUGGAGCAUGUGGUUUAAUUCGAAGCAACGCAAAGAACCUUACCAAGUCUUGACAUACUGUGAGGACACAAGAGAUUGUGUUGUUCUGACCUUUGGUUAGACACAGAUACAGGUGGUGCAUGGUUGUCGUCAGCUCGUGUCGUGAGAUGUUGGGUUAAGUCCCGCAACGAGCGCAACCCUUAUAUCUAGUUGCCAGCAGUAAGAUGGGGACUCUAGAUAGACUGCCAGUGAUAAACUGGAGGAAGGUGGGGAUGACGUCAAAUCAUCAUGCCCCUUAUGACUUGGGCUACACACGUGCUACAAUGGAUAGGAACAAAGAGAAGCGAGCUCGCGAGAGUAAGCAAACCUCACAAAACUAUUCUCAGUUCGGAUUGUAGUCUGCAACU
rnacentral:rRNA from 1 species